rnacentral:rRNA from 1 species
GAUGAACGCUAGCGGCAGGCUUAAUACAUGCAAGUCGAGGGGUAGCAAGAUUGUAGCAAUACAAUUGUUGACGACCGGCAAACGGGUGCGGAACACGUACACAACCUUCCUACAAGUGGGGAAUAGCCCAGAGAAAUUUGGAUUAAUACCCCGUAACAUAGCGAUGUGGCAUCACAUUGCUAUUAUAGCUUCGGCGCUUGUUGAUGGGUGUGCGGCUGAUUAGAUAGUUGGCGGGGUAACGGCGCACCAAGUCUACGAUCAGUAGCUGAUGUGAGAGCAUGGUCAGCCACACGGGCACUGAGACACGGGCCCGACUCCUACGGGAGGCAGCAGUAAGGAAUAUUGGACAAUGGACGCAAGUCUGAUCCAGCCAUGCCGCGUGAAGGAUUAAGGUCCUCUGGAUUGUAAACUUCUUUUAUAAGGGACGAAAAAAGGUCUUUCUAGAUCGUCUGACGGUACCUUAUGAAUAAGCACCGGCUAACUCCGUGCCAGCAGCCGCCGUAAAAC